rfam:Gossypium raimondii Chr10_contig_1426, whole genome shotgun sequence.
UAUUAAAAAUUUCUUCCAUUUCUACUGUUAAAAACUGGCGUAGCUGAUAGAAUAACUAGAUAAUUACAUGUGCUGAUGUACAAGGACUAGUUUUUAACAGUAAAAAUUGAUGGAAUUUUUAACA